AAAUAAACAAAUACAAUGAUAAUGAUAUAUUGGGGGAUAAAUAAAGUUGAACAAGUAGUCCUAAUUAGUAAGGUCCGAAACAAGUUUAAUCUUCUGGCGAUGAAUGAAUUCACGAGCUUUAUUGUUAAUUUGAGGAUCAGCUACACCCCAUCUUUCUUUGUCGUAAUCACUAAUAUGCCACACUUUACUCCCACCUUCAAAUCUAUUAUUAUUAUUAUUAUCACAUUUCCUAAUCCCUCCUUUCCCC
rnacentral:lncRNA from 1 species